rnacentral:rRNA from 1 species
UACGGGGGGGGCAAGCGUUGUUCGGAAUUACUGGGCGUAAAGGGCUCGUAGGCGGCCAACUAAGUCAUACGUGAAAUCCCUCGGCUUAACCGGGGAACUGCGUCUGAUACUGGAUGGCUUGAGAUUGGGAGAGGGAUGCGGAAUUCCAGGUGUAGCGGUGAAAUGCGUAGAUAUCUGGAGGAACACCGGUGGCGUAGGCGGCAUCCUGGACCGGCAUUGACGCUGAGGCGCGAAAGCCAGGGGAGCAAACGGG